rnacentral:misc_RNA from 1 species
GAUGAAGAACGCAGCGAAAUGCGAUAAGUAAUGUGAAUUGCACAAUUCAGUGAAUCAUCGAAUCUUUGAACGCACCUUGCGCCCCUUGGUUAUUCCAAAGGGCAUGCCUGUUUGAGUAUCAUGAACACCUCAACUCUUGUGGUUUCCCACAAUGAGCUUGGACUGUGGAGGUUUUGUUGGCCCUGUGGUCAGCUCCUCUCAAAUGGAUCAGCUUACCGGUGUUUGGUGGCAUUACGGGUGUGAUAACUAUCUACGCUCGUGGUCGUCUCCAAAUAACCUCCAGUGAUGGAGGUUCGCUGGAGCUUAUAAAUGUCUCUCCCCAGUGCAGACAGCCUUUGAACGUUCGAUCUCAAAUCAGGUAGGACUACCCGCUGAACUUAAGCAUAUCAAUAAGCGGAGGA